CGCAGUUUUACGUUAUCACGCAAUGACAUGACAACGUCAUUUAGCAACUUUUAGCAAGUCGUCAACCUGCUUCUAGCAACUUACCCUGAAAUUUAGUUGGCAACGCGCUGCUCAUUGAGAAGAGUAAGAACGGUACGUGCUUCACGUCAGAGUCUCCAAUAACACCAGAAAGUCUCUAGUCUCUUUUUUUAAAAUGUGCGCUAGAGGGGUCUGAAUACUCGCUAAAUAUAGCGACAACGUCGCUAAGUUGGCAACACUGGCGGAGGACCGAAAGGCGAACACGUGCUACACCAGCAGAGAGAUGAGUUCUAGUGAUGACGUGAGGUUCAACAUGGACAACAGUAGGCCUAAUUUUAGCAUGUAGCACCAACGUCAAAUGUGUUUUCUAACAUCUAUUACGUCUCAGAUGUUUUGGUGCUUAUUAAAAGUCAACUAGGCCGAUGCUAUUUGUGUCUGUGUGCACACCUGUAUUGUGCUAACUCUUAGGAUGACUGUGAGGAGAUGAAUGUGUAUUUUUCCCAGAGCAAAUGGACCAGUUUGGGGGAAUGGGAGAAAAAGCGCUACAGAAACAUGAAGAGGAACCACUUGGCCAUGUUGGCUAUAGGUCUGUAGCCGCUGGUCCCUGUAUUUAUGAUGCAUGGCCGGGAGGGGAAGGAGAGAGAGUGUAGAUCGCCCCCACAAGGACCUAGUGACACAGUGGAGGAAGAAUGGACCCCUCACCUGGAGAGAAAAUACCAGGGUAAAAGGGAGAAUAAGUCCAGAACACCUUCUACAGCCUCCACAUCUAAACCCCCUCAGCCCAGAACACCUACAGCCUCCACAUCUAAACCCCCUCAGUUCAGAACACCUACAGCCUCCACAUCUAAACCCCCUCAGUCCAGAACACCUUCUACUGCCUCCACAUCGAAACCCCCUCAGUUCAGAACACCUUCUACAGCCUCCACAUCUAAACCCCCUCAGUCCAGAACAUCUUCAAUAGAAACCACUUCUAAACCCUCUCAGUCCAUAACAACUGAAACAUCAUUGACUACAGGGUCCAAUAUCUCACCUGCUACCUCAGCCUCAACCAAAACCCUCAACACAGCGACCUUAACCCCUACUGAUUCACAGACCUUAACCUCGACCCCAACCAGAACCAAACGUUCUGACACCACAGCCACACCUAAAACCUCGACAAGCUCAGAGGUGACCUCAGCCACAUCCACUGCUACACAGGUAACCACAAGGUCUGACCCCUCGACCCCAGCCAGACCACAGCUGAGCAGAGGACCAGUGGUGACACGUAUUUACACCUGGAUGUGGACUGACUGGUGCAGUCACAAAAUGGGAAGAAAACCUUCAAGACAACCUCACCUGGAUGAGCUGACUGGCGAGAGAGAAGGAGAGGCGAGAGAGAGUAGGGACGAGACGGAGCGGAAGAAAGAGAAGGAAAGAGCGAGAGAAGAGGAGAAACAGGAGCUGCUGAACGAAGAGAGAGAUGGAGAAAAGGAGAGAGCGAGCAAAGGGGGGUUGGAAUCAGAGUGGAAGAGUGGAGGAGAGGAGGAGAGCGAAGGAAAGAUGGAGUGGACGAGUGGGGGACAGGAGGAGAGCGGGAGUGAAGGGGAGAGCACACCCAGCAGCUCUCACAGGGACCCAGUGUGUGUGUCAGAGCAGAUGAAGAGGGCGUGGCUAAAGCAGGUGAACCUCUGCAGCAGAGCCAGAGUCAGCUAUACUGAGGAAGAGGAGCUGAGAGAUGAAGAUUACCUCUUCUGUGAGGAGUGCAAGUCUUUCUUCAUCGAGGAGUGUGAGCUCCACGGUCCCCCCCUCUUCAUCCCAGACACCCCUGCCCCCCUGGGGGCCCCAGACAGGGCCAGACUCACCCUGCCGCUCGGCCUGGAGGUCAGGACAUCAGCCAUCCCUGGAGCUGGGCUGGGGGUCUUCAACCACAGACACAGCGUGACCCAAGGGACGCACUACGGACCGUAUGAAGGAGAACUCACAGACACGGAGCUGGCCAUGGAGAGUGGAUACUCCUGGGUGAUCUACAAAAGCAAGCAGAGUGACGAGUACAUUGAUGCCAAGAGAGAAACUCACUCCAACUGGAUGAGGUAUGUGAACUGUGCCCGUAAUGAGGAAGAGCAGAAUCUGGUGGCUUUCCAGUACAGAGGAGGGAUUCUGUACCGCUGCUGUAAGCCUAUAGCUGUUGGAGAGGAGCUGUUGGUUUGGUACGGAGAGGAGUACGCCAGAGACCUGGGCAUCGUCUUCGACUUCCUCUGGGACAGAAAGAGCUCCGCCAGAGGUGUGAAUGAGUCGUCCCAGUCUCGGAUCUUUUCCUGCUCUGGUUGUCCGUUCUCCUUCACGGCUCAGAUCUACCUUUACAAGCACACAAAGAGAUGCCACAGGGAAGAGUACGUCAGGCUGCCGAGGAGUGGAGGGAUUAGAUCAGAGACACUAGCACCACCCAGUGGCUCUCAGCAGUGUUCAACAACUCCAGAUCGCACCCAGAAACACAGAAACACAGGGAAGCAAAGACCUCAUCACUGCUCUCAGUGUGAGAAGAGUUUCCAUCGAUCAGGAGACUUAAAGGUGCACCAGCGUACUCACACAGGAGAAAGGCCAUAUCACUGUUCCCAGUGUGGGAAGAGGUUCAGUGUGUCAGGAAAUUUAAAGACACACCAGCGUAUUCACACAGGAGAGAGGCUGUAUCACUGCUCUCAGUGUGAGAAGAGUUUCCAUCGAUCAGUAGACUUAAAUGUGCACCAACGUACUCACACAGGAGAAAGGCCAUAUCACUGUUCCCAGUGUGGGAAGAGUUUCAGUGUGUCAGGAAAUUUAAAGACACACCAGCGUAUUCACACAGGAGAGAGGCUGUAUCACUGCUCUCAGUGUGAGAAGAGUUUCCAUCGAUCAGUAGACUUAAAUGUGCACCAACGUACUCACACAGGAGAAAGGCCAUAUCACUGUUCCCAGUGUGGGAAGAGUUUCAGUGUGUCAGGAAAUUUAAAGAAACACCAGCGUAUUCACACGAGAGAGGCCGUAUCACUGUCCAGUGUAGGAAGAGUGACAGUCAGGAAGCUUAAAAAGCGUACUCACACCUGACUGAGUCACUAGCACCAACUGAUUUACCUGUGGCAUUCCAAAACUCUAAAUGCCGCAAAUAGUUUGUUGGAAUAAAAAUCUAGUUUAACUGUGUGUACACCAUCUUUGAUUCCGCGUGUGCUGUGUGAGAGGAGGGUGACUGCAGUGAGACAUGUUGAAUAUGACAGGCCAGGACUCGUCGAUGUUUGACCCUUACCUGAAUGUUGCAGGGAGCUGCUUGCUGACUGCCAAUAAGCUUUUAUGAACACUUGUAGCAAGUCUACAUACGCUAUACACUAUGCAGAGAUAGGACAUUCCAUAAAGCAUUCUCCAUACUGUA